rnacentral:ncRNA from 1 species
CCCGGGCCUUGUACACACCGCCCGUCACACUAUAGGAGCUGGCCAUGUUUGAAGUCAUUACCCUUAACCGUAAGGAGGGGGAUGCCUAAGGCUAGGCUUGCGACUGGAGUGAAGUCGUAACAAGGUAGCCGUACUGGAAGGCAAGUGUUACAUUUACUGGCUA